GGGGCUAUGGCUCAGAGGUAGAGCACUUACCUACCAUGCAUGAGGCACUGGGUUCGAUCCCCAGCACCA
rnacentral:tRNA from 1 species